CCUCAUAAAUUCAGAAAUUGCUUGGCAUUAGAACAUGAACUUGCCAUACUAGAGACAUGAGGGUACUUGAAGACGCUGUUUGUUGUGGUCUAGGGCUAUGAUCUUUUACAUCUUCAGAGGAUUCACGGGACCUGUUUCAGACUAGAGUGGCCUCGCAUGCGCCUGCGCCGGGUCAGGAGUUGCACAGCCACACUGAGCCUGGCUCCGCAGUGGCCAUAGGCUGGGUGGAACGGGGUGGGGGGAGCCGGGGCAGACUGAGAGCCCUUGGGAAUGUCUCCUGGGUACAGCCACAGACCAACUUUGGGAAUGCUCACAAACAGUCAUUUCUGUUGUGUUUGGGGCUGCAUCUGGUGGUCUGCCUGGUUGUUCAGUAGCCCAGGCAGGUGCCCGUAGCCUGCAGAGGUGAGGUGACGAUGAAGCCGGCCCCAGCCUAGGAUUCCAGACUGGGGCCAUGAGCCCCUGCCAGCUGCCUUGGUGGGCCUUCACCCUGACACCAGAUUGUUGCCACUCACACAUUUCAGUAGAAGUGGUUGCUCCAGCGCACAGCCAGUCCUCUUCAGUGAUCAGCAUCCAGAAUCAAUCACUCCUCAUCUCCUUAAUUAAAUCUUCGAGUUGGAAACUAUGCGGUGAGAUCCUCUAUUCAAAAUACCAGGAGAAAACAUAAGCAGGCUUCGUUUCUUAUUGUCACAAUGCCAGUUUUCCGUCAUCUGACCUUGACUUGACAUCGGUGGACCAGAACCUUCCUUCAAAGCUCUGUCUAUAUUUGUGUAAUCUAGAUGCACGAGAUGACGACAGAGGAUUAUCUUCGGUCAUUAAAGAUGCUGGAACAUUCUUCAUUGCAGAUGGAAAAAAAUAGCCCCGCGGCUAGUUAAGAUUCCUGUUUGAAUCUGACUCGAGUUGUCUUCUGUUGUCGUAAGGUGUGGGCUCUCACUGUAGGAUUACAAGCACCUCUGUUAUUUAGGACCAAUAUUUAAAAGUAGAUUAGGUAUGUGACUCACACGUCUGCAGUCAUAUUUUGCAGAACAGUGAGAGUCGUGUGUGAUCACAGAAAAUGCAAAUCUACUCACAAACAAGAAAACUGGCUGCAUUCUGUCCUCUGAGCAAGCUGUAUUUAUUAUCAGAGUAAAUUUAUUGAUGCUUUGCUUUCAGAAUAUACGCUAUGUUUUAUUCUUCCAUGAACUUUUUGUUGUUGUUUUGUAAGAAAAAUUUUGUUUUUAAUCCACACAUCCUUAUAAAUAAAUAAAUGACCGGCUACAGGGGAAACUGGCAUUGCCACAAGAUGCCAUUGUGCAAACACAUUUGACAAUAAAGCUUUUCGCCACCCUUAAGCAUAGAACUUUCAAUGCGAGAUUUAAGACAAAGAUGCAAAAUUGGGCAAGUAAUGAAGAGUCUAACUCUGGUUCUGAUGUCUGGCUGUUGACAACGCCCACUGCUCCCCUGGCCCUGUCGGCCCCGCCUCUGGACAAGCUGCUGAGGGAGGCCAGGCACGUCCUCUGGGCUCCGCUGCACGUUCAGAACCACGAGGGGCCCGGCAGUGCGCAGCUGCGCAGCGACGCUCACCCAGCCCCACCCCCUUCCACAGUAAAACCCCAGCCAGUCUCCUUUCCCUGCUCUUUCGAGACAUUUACGGGCCUCUGGGGAAGCCUGCCUUGCCCUCCCCGGAAAGCCUCCUAAUGUGUAACGAACCUGCUCAUAUCCUGUCGGUGUGUGCGCAGCAUCACCAGUUUUGACAACUGAGCUAAAUUUUUUUUUGCGCGGGGGGGGGGGGGGGGGGGCGCGGGCCGUCCUGUCUCUAAAGGGCAAACAUACAGCAUGAUCCUAUUUAAAAGGUUUAUAUCUGUGCACAUAGUAAUUACACCAGUGAGCAGAACACAAAACCACAGAGCAACGGACUGAAACGCUGCGAGCGAUGACCUCUGAGCAGCAGGAUAUGGGCCUUCUCUUUCCUCUUUACAUUUCUGUUUUUUUCUAAAAUUCCUGCUAUGAACAUAUACUUCUUUUUAUAUAAGAAAAAGCAAUAGCGUGCAAUAAAUAGUCAAAAACAUUCUGCCUGAAGAGAAAGGAAAAUGCUCAAAUCAUUUUGAUUCGUUUUGUUACUUGACCAAAUUCUGAAGUACAUACACAGAAAAAGCAAAUCAAGCCUCAUGCGAUCAGUUCCUCCAGUCUCUUAAAAAGAAAAAAAAAAGCAUCAUUGCACGAAGUUUCACUUUUUAGGAAAGUUUUCAUUUAAUCUUCGAAACUAUGUGGUUGGAAGUCAGCACGGUGAAACAUAUUUCUGCUGAAAAC